rnacentral:rRNA from 1 species
UACGGGGGGAGCAAGCGUUGUUCGGAUUUACUGGGCGUAAAGGGCGCGUAGGCGGCCACCGCAAGUCGAUUGUGAAAUCUCCGGGCUUAACCCUGGAAAGGCGGUGGAAACUGAAGCGCUAGAGUGCGGUAGGGGUAGAGGGAAUUCCCGGUGUAGCGGUGAAAUGCGUAGAGAUCGGGAAGAACAUCGGUGGCGAAAGCGCUCUACUGGACCGCAACUGACACUCAGGGACGAAAGCUAGGGGAGCGAAUGGG